UACAGAGGUGGCAAGCGUUGUUCGGAAUUACUGGGCGUAAAGGGCGCGUAGGCGGCCUUCUAAGUCAGACGUGAAAUCCCCCGGCUUAACCUGGGAACUGCGUCUGAUACUGGAGGGCUUGAGUAUGGGAGAGGGAUGUAGAAUUCCAGGUGUAGCGGUGAAAUGCGUAGAUAUCUGGAGGAAUACCGGUGGCGAAGGCGGCAUCCUGGACCAUUACUGACGCUGAGGCGCGAAGGCCAGGGGAGCAAACGGG
rnacentral:rRNA from 1 species